GCUAACUACGUGCCAGCAGCCGCGGUAAUACGUAGGUGGCAAGCGUUGUCCGGAUUUAUUGGGCGUAAAGGGAGCGCAGGCGGUGACUUAAGUCUGAUGUGAAAGCCCACGGCUCAACCGUGGAAGGUCAUUGGAAACUGGGUCACUUGAAUGGAGCAGAGGAGAACGGAAUUCCAUGUGUAGCAGUGAAAUGCGUAGAUAUAUGGAGGAACACCAGUGGCGAAGGCGGUUCUCUGGGCUCACAUUGACGCUGAGGCUCGAAAGCGUGGGGAGCGAACAGGAUUAGAUACCCGUGUAGUC
rnacentral:rRNA from 1 species